rnacentral:rRNA from 1 species
UCGAGAAUCUUUCACAAUGGGCGAAAGCCUGAUGGAGCGACGCCGCGUGGAGGAUGAAGGCCUUCGGGUUGUAAACUCCUGUCAUGAGGGAACAAGAAAGUGAUAGUACCUCAAGAGGAAGAGACGGCUAACUCUGUGCCAGCAGCCGCGGUAAUACAGAGGUCUCAAGCGUUGUUCGGAUUUACUGGGCGUAAAGGGUGCGUAGGCGGCGGCGUAAGUCGAGUGUGAAAUCUUCCGGCUCAACCGGAAAAUUGCACUCGAUACUGUGUCGCUCGAGGACUGUAGAGGAGACUGGAAUUCACGGUGUAGCAGUGAAAUGCGUAGAUAUCGUGAGGAAGACCGGUGGCGAAAGCGAGUCUCUGGGCAGUUCCUGACGCUGAGGCACGAAGGCUAGGGUAGCGAAGAGGAUUAGAUACCCAGGUAGUCCCUGAGCGGGCUGGCAAGGCGCAU